rnacentral:rRNA from 1 species
UGGGGAAUAUUGCACAAUGGGCGCAAGCCUGAUGCAGCAACGCCGCGUGAGGGACGACGGCCUUCGGGUUGUAACCUCUUUUGGCAGGGAAGAAGCGAAAGUGACGGUACCUGCAGAAAAAGCACCGGCUAACUACGUGCCAGCAGCCGCGGUGAUACGUAGGGUGCAAGCGUUGUCCGGAAUUAUCGGGCGUAAAGAGCUCGUAGGCGGUUUGUCGCGUCUGCUGUGAAAACCCGAGGCUCAACCUCGGGCCUGCAGUGGGUACGGGCAAACUAGAGUGCGGUAGGGGAGAUUGGAAUUCCUGGUGUAGCGGUGGAAUGCGCAGAUAUCAGGAGGAACACCGAUGGCGAAGGCAGAUCUCUGGGCCGUAACUGACGCUGAGGAGCGAAAGCAUGGGGAGCGAACA